GGCUGCUCUGUCUGUGGAGUAGCCAUUCUUUUAUUCCUUUUUUUCUUAAUAAACUUGCUUUCACUUUGCACUGUGGACUUGCCCUGAAUUCUUUCUUGCGUGAGAUCCAAGAACCCUCUCUUGGAGUCUGGAUCAGGACCCCUGUCCUGUAACAUCUUCCUGGAGAUCAUGAAGGGACUAUAGUGAGAAAACCCUGACUCAAUGGCUACCUUUGGGUAAAUGUUGGGGUCCUGUAACAUCUUUCUGGCAAUGACAGAAGUGACUAUACUUCGGAAACCCCUGAUCCAACAAAAGCUAACUUUGGGUAAGUGGUGGGGUCUGGUAACAUCUUUCUCUCGAACCACAAAAGGGACAAUACUGAGGAGACCCUCCGACGCAAAGGAAAUAGACUGGAGCACUGAUUGGACAACUUUGGCUUGGCCCCCAGGGCAAUGGUGCUGCAAGCUGGAUCACUGGGGCCGCUCAGGGAAAGGGAAUCCAGAAGCCUGGCAUGCUGACAAAAGGGUGCAGUGGCUCAUGCCUGUAAUCCUAGCACUUUGGGAGGCCGAGGCAGGUGGAUCACCUGAGGUCAGGAGUUUGAGACGAGCAUGGCCAACGCAUGGUGAAACCCCAUCUUUACUAAAAAAAAAUACAAAAAUUUGCCAGGUAUGGUGGUACAUGCCUGUAAUCCCAGCUAUUCGGGAGGCUGAGGAAGGAGAAUCGCUUGAACCUGGGAGGCAGAGAUUGCAGUGAGCCAAGAUCGCGCCACUGCACUCCAGCCUGCUCGACGGGAGCGAGACUCUAUCUCAAAAUAAAUAAAUAAAUAAAUAGAAUAUCCUGCUGAUCCUUUGUUUUUCAGAGUCAAGGAAACUUUUCAUUUGAGCUAUUUACAGCUUUUACCAAUUAAGUAAAGUAUACUCCUGUAAACAAAAUUUGGAGCAUAUUUGUUUCUCUCUACCUGAUUUCUCCAAAAUUUGGAAACUAUUUGUGAGCAUUCUUAAUUUAUGGCAAUAUAGUUAUUUGCAUAAGUGCAAUAAGAAUCUGUUUUCUUUUAUAACAGAACACAACUGAAGAAACUAGUUAUUUUCCCAAGGCUUUAACUGGAAUGGUGUGUACAAGGUUUCUGACCUGUGAUAAGUAAAGAAUGUCACUUUCUAACAGGUCCAGGAGCCCCAAGUUAUCUUGGGACCCCAAGAGGAGAGGAAUUUACUCAACUAAUAGGUAUUUGAGGGUACAAAACCAUGGCUGAGCUUGGUUUUAAGAAAUCUUAACUAAGAUUCCUUCUAUGGAACAGAGUUCCAUCAAAGCCAAUUUUAAAAGAGGCUAUGUGAAAAAUAAUUAUUCUUGCUGCACUUUAUACAAAUAAUCAGGCCAAGUAUAAUAAAGCAAAUCAGUCUUACCAUGAUUUGUCUUUAGUAAAAAUGAAAAACUGGAGAAUGAAAUAUUAUGUUUCAAGAACUAUGGUACACUUUCUACUAAAUUCUAGCCUCAUUAGUUGUUUUUAAGUUUGUUUCUGCAAUUUAGGCUAACCCUGCUUAUUCCUGUGAACCAAAGAGUGAUCUCUGACUUGUGGUCAGAAGAAACAAGAGGGAUGAGUAAUGUAAAAAUCUGGAUCAGUAUUCUAAUUCUGGGCACAUUACAAUCAGCUAACAAUCCCAUAUCGGCUUAGUUCCAACAGUUGCCCAGUUCAUGUAAAGCCUUCUAAUUUAGUUUACUUGGAAUAACUUUACUUAUUUUGCUUUACUCUUGUGGAAUAUACUGCUGUUAUACUCUUUGUGUAGGAAUACAGGACAAGCUUACUGAAUGUUUUCUUAAAUUAAACACUUAUUAAUCUUCCAGAUAUUGCCUUUUCUCAAAACUCAAGAGUUAUGAAUGGACCUUACCAUACUGAUGCUUUCUCACUGAGCUCCUGUCUACUCUGAAUGCAAGAAACCCUCAUAGUUAGGCAGGAAUAUCAUAAUCGCUAUUCAGCCUGAAGAAGUUAAAGAAGAUGGAUCUUCAUCCCUCUGCAACUCUUACGAUUAAAGAGUUCUCUUAUAAAAGGGGGGGGGGGGGGGACAUGAGAGGUGUGUGAACCAGAGCAACUCCAUCUUAAAUAGGAGCUGGGUAAAAUGAGGCUGAAACCUACCAGGCUGCACUCCCAGACAGUUAAGGCAUUCUAAGUCACAGGAUGAGAUAGCAGGUCAGCACAAAAUAAAGGUCAUAACAACCUUACUGACAAAACAGGUUGCAGUAAAGGAGCCAGCCAAAACACACCCAAACCAAAAUGGCAACAAGAGUGACCUCUGGUCAUCCUCACUGCUACACUCCCACCAGUGCCAUGACAGUUUACAAAUGCCAUGGCAACAUCAGGAAGUAACCCUAUAUGGUCUAAAAAGGGGAGGCAUUAAUAAUCCACCCCUUGUUUAGCAUAUCAGCAAGAAAUAACCAUAAAAAUGGGCAACCAGCAGCCCCAAAGGGUUGGCUAUGGAACAGCCAUUCUUUCAUUUCUUUACUUUCUUAACAAACUUGCUUUCAUUUUGCACUGUGGGAUCACCCUGAAUUCUUUCUUGCAUGAGAUCCAAAAACCCUCUUGGGGUCUGGAUCAAGACCCCUGUCCUGUAACAAUCCCACUCUGUUCUCCCUGUUCUUUGUGCUCCAGUCACACUGACCUUCUUUUGUUCCCUGACCACAACAUGCUUCCUCCAGCAAUAAGGUGGCUGCCACACUGCUCCAUCUGCUGGGACCCUCCCCUGCCCCAAUGCCUCCUGUAUCACUUUCUUGGGGAAUUUCUCCCUGACUUCCAGGCAAAGCUCUCAUAAACAGUGUUCCUUUCCUUCAGAGCACUUAAUUCAGUUUUAAAGCAAACAUUAUUUAGUUUAACUAUCUGAAUUAAUUAUUUUAGUUAUUUGCCCACUUCCUUCAAUAGACUGUGGAAUUCCUGAAAGCGAGACCAUGCCUGGCUCUACUCACCACUGUAUACCCAGCAAAAUGCCUGGUAUAUAGCAAACACUCAAUAAAUAUUUGUUGAAUGCAUGAAUGAAUAGAAAUGAUAAGUGAAAUGAGCCAGUUACAAAGUGCUUUUACCCUUGAUAAUUUCUUCUUCCCCAACAAACUGUGCAUUUUUUAGUGCAGUGAUCACAUUUCUCUUGUUCUCCAUUUUAUCCUGAAUACUUAGGGUCUGAAACUCCAAAAACAUUUAUUAAAUGAAGGAAUGAAGGACUUAAGCUUCUGAGAUUAAGCAGAAUGCCAAGAGGAGAAGAAUGAGAAAAGCAUUUCUGACUACAGAAAUAGCAAAAGCACUUAUGGUAUUGAUGUUAAAAAGCUGCCAGUAAAAGAAUGUGAUGCCUUAGGAUAUAUGGGAGCACAGCUGGGAGUCAGAAUAGGAAGGGCCACUUCAGCUGUACUGUUUAGGUGAGUAGUUCUCAUGAUGACUCUAAGAAAUAUAAAGCAGAAGCAGCAACCCAGAAAUGGGAGAAGACACAGGUGGGCAUGCAGAUGGUAAAAAAGGGGACUAUCAAGAACAUACUGAAGAGUUCAAAUAACGAAGUUGUCUGGAAAUACAUAAUGUCAGGUCAAACACUGCCAAAUACUGUCCUAAGUCCACAGGGCAUCAGAAUAUCAUAGCAUAGUAAAAUUACUUGAGUCAUCAAAAAAGGACUAAAUUACACUACUACUGCUGAACUACUUACUAAUAUUGGUUGUGGUAGUAGCUGGCUGCGGUUACAGUAGUUAGGAGGAGCAGAAAUGAACAUUUAUUGAGCACUUGCUAUGUAUUUUCUCAUUUUAUUUUCAUUACUACCCUGUUAGAUAGUUUCCACCCUCAUUUUAUACAUGAGAAAAUCAUACUACAUGGGGCUUAAGUAAUUCAUUUAAAAUCAUCCUGCUAGUAGGCGUUAACACCAGAAUUAAAACCCAGCCUGUAGCUGUGAAUCUCACACUUUCAGCCACUAUGUUAUAUUCUGAUUAAGAAAGUACAGAAAGAUGUUAACACAAUUUAGAGAGCUCCUAUGAAGAAUAACUCAAAUGAAGUUUGGCCAGGCAUGGUGGCUCAGGCCUAUGAUUCUAGUACUUUGGGAGACUGAGGCAGGAUGAUUGCUUUAAGCCAGGAAUUCAAGACCACCCAAGGCAACAAAGCUCUUGCAAAAAAUUUGUGCCACUACAAAAAAUUUUAAAAAUUAGCCAAGUGUAGGGACAUGCACCUGUAGUUCUAGCUACUUGGGAGGCAAAGGUGGGAGGAUUACUUGAGCCCAGGAGUUCAAGGCUGCAGUGAACUGUAAUUGCACAACCGCACUCCAACCUGAGCAACAGAGUCUUAAAAUAAAUGAAUAAAAUGUGAUGCUUGAUGAGAUAAGCCCUCAAAUAGCUACAAAACCCACCAACUUUCCCUAAGCAGUCUAGAUGGCUGAGGUCCUAUCAAAAUGAUGCUAAUCCAGAGUUAUCUCCAAUGCAUGACUAUACCAUGUAUUGUUACACACUGGACUGUCUAAUGUAUAGUGGCCAUUAAAAAUGGGCAAAAGAUAAGAACAGCUCACCAAAGAAGACAAACGGUAACAAAUAAGCAUAUGAAGAUGCUCAACAUGAUGUAAUUAGGGAAUUACAAAUUAAAACAACGACAUACCACUACACACCUAUUAAAACAGCUAAAAUUGAAAAUACUGAUAAAAACCAAAUGCUGGUGAGGAUUUGGAGCAACAACUCUCAUUCCUCACUGGUGGGAAUGCCAAAUGGUAUGACCACUUUGGAAGACAGUUUGGCAGUGUCUUAUAUCAUAGGCUUACCAUACAAUUUGUCAAUCACACUCCUACAUAUUUGCCCAAAUGAGCUGAAAACUUACAUCCACAUAAAAAUCUGCACAUGAAUACUUACAGUGCCUUUAUUCAUAAUUCCCAAAAAUUAGAAGCAACCAAGAUAUCUUUCAAUAGAUGAAUGAAUAAAUGAACUGUGGUAAAUCCAUGCAGUCCAUUACUUAACAACAGUGAGAAAUAAGUGUAUCACACAAAGGAUGCUUAAAUGCAUACUGCUAAGUGAAAAAAGCUAGUCUGAAAAGGCUACAUAUGGUAUGAUUCCAACUAGAUGGCGUUCUGUAAAAUGCAAUACUACAGAGACAGAAAAAAGGCCAGUGGUUGCCAGCAGUGGUGGGUAGGGUUGAAUAGAUGGAGCACAGGACAUUUUUAGGGCAGUGAAGCCAUUCUGUAUGAUACAACCAUUAGAGCUGCACAAGAGUGAACCCUAAUGUAUAACUGCUGGCUUUUGUUAAUAAUAUUGGUUCAUCAACUUUAACAAAUGUACCACACUAAUGCAAGAUAUUAGUAACAGGAGUAAAAUGAGGGAUUGGAAGGAUAUGUAUGGGAACUCACUGUAUUUUCUGUGCAAAUUUUCUGUAAACCUAAAACUGCUCUAAAAAAUAGUCGAUUAAAAUUUUUUUAAAAAAACGAAGCAUAGCUCUCCCUCUCCCUCUCCCUCUCCCCACGGUCUCCCUCUCCCUCUCCCCACGGUCUCCCUCUCUUUCCACGGUCUCCCUCUGAUGCCCAGCCGAAGCUGGACUGUACUGCUGCCAUCUCAGCUCACUGCAACCUCCCUGCCUGAUUCUCCUGCCUCAGCCUGCAGAGUGCCUGCGACUGCAGGCGCACGCCGCCACACCUGACUGGUUUUUGUAUUUUUUUGGUGGAGACGGGGUUUCGCUGUGUUGGCCGGGCUGGUCUCCAGCUCCUAACCGCGAGUGAUCCGCCAGCCUCGGCCUCCCGAGGUGCUGGGAUUGCAGACGGAGUCUCGUUCACUCAGUGCUCAAUGGUGCCCAGGCUGGAGUGCAGUGGCGUGAUCUCGGCUCGUUACAACCUCCACCUCCCAGCCGCCUGCCUUGGCCUCCCAAAGUGCCGAGAUUGCAGCCUCUGCCGGGCCGCCACCCCGUCUGGGAAGUGAGGAGCGUCUCUGCCUGGCCGCCCAUCGUCUGGGAUGUGAGGAGCCCCUCUGCCUGGCUGCCCAGUCUGGAAAGUGAGGAGCAUCUCUGCCCGGCCGCCAUCCCAUCUAGGAAGUGAGGAGCGCCUCUUCCCGGCCGCCAUCCCAUCUAGGAAGUGAGGAGCGUCUCUGCCCGGCCGCCCAUCGUCUGAGAUGUGGGGAGCGCCUCUGCCCUGCCGCCCCGUCCGGGAUGUGAGGAGCGUCUCUGCCCGGCUGCCCCGUCUGAGAAAUGAGGAGACCCUCUGCCUGGCAACCGCCCCGUCUGAGAAGUGAGGAGCCCCUCCACCCAGCAGCCGUCCCGUCUGAGAAGUGAGGAGCCCCUCCGCCCGGCAGCCACCCCGUCUGGUGCUGGAGAGGAUAUGGAGAAAUAGAAAUGCUUUUACACUGUUGAUGGGAGCGUAAACUAGUUCAACCAUUGUGGAAGACAGUGUGGCGAUUUCUCAAGGAUCUAGAACUAGAAAUACCAUUUGACCCACCUAUCCCAUUACUGGGUAUAUACCCAAAGGAUUAUAAAUCAUGCUGCUAUAAAGACACAUGCACACAUGUGUUUACUGUGGCACUAUUCACAAUAGCAAAGACUUGGAAUCAACUCAAAUGUCCAUCAAUGAUAGACUGGAUUAAGAAAAUGUGGCACAUAUACACCAUGGAAUACUAUGCAGCCGUAAAAAAGGAUGAGUUCAUGUCUUUUGUAGGGACAUGGAUAAAGCUGGAAACCAUCAUUCUGAGCAAACUAUCACAAGGACAGAAAUCCAAACACCGCAAGUUCUCACUUAUAGGUGGGAACUGAACAAUGAGAACACUUGGACACAGGGCGGGGAACAUCACACACUGGGGCCUGUUGUGGGGU
rnacentral:lncRNA from 1 species